GUGAGGCCUUCGGACUGGCUCAGGGAGGUCGGCAACGACCACCCAGAGCCGGAAAGUUCGUCAAACUACGUCAUUUAGAGGAAGUAAAAGUCGUAACAAGGUUUCCGCAUAAAGUCACGGAAUGGGAGUGAUUCCUUCCGCGGUUGAACACUUAUCGAAGCCUUGGAAUGCGGCCUCGCAAGAGGUAAGCCUGGCGACUCAUAAACAAUCCAGGCCUUGCGCAAGUUGGCGGCCCCCGGCCGCCGGCGACACUUUCGAACUGCGGGGACAUCCUU
rnacentral:rRNA from 1 species